AUGUAGCUUAUUAAUUGAAAGUCAAUUAGAAAUAACCACCAAACCAGAAGUUGGUUGUUGCAUCAGGCGAAGACGUACAACGGAACUUGGUGUUCUUGUACAAGUAAAGACCAAAAUAUCUUCACUGAACACAGCUCCUCCUCUCGGUGUGAACUGACAAGCUGUCGAUGUGCUGUCAAGAUGCACACUUUCUCUGUUGACGUAUGCAUACCAUUUCAUUAAUUUGUAUACGUUACCACCUUUGAAGGUCGUCACAUCGAAAU